rnacentral:rRNA from 1 species
AGCUCCAAUAGCGUAUAUUAUUGAUGUUGCAGUUGAAACGUUCGUAGUCGAACUUUAUGUGCUUGGACAUUAUAACGUCGAUGACGAUGUAAUGUUUUCAGCACAAACUAUGCAAAUUGCUUUCGCAUGUUUCAUGCGUUUGUUUUUUGCAUUUUACUUUGAGUGAAUCGGCGUGUUCCACGCAGGCGAGUGCCUUGAACGAUUUACCAUAGCAUAAACAGAGUAUGGGAUUGUCUACUUGUUUGUUCAUGGACAUUUCCGAUACUGAUAAGAACGGUUGAGGGCAUUCGUAUUCAACUGCCAGAGGUGAAAUUCUUUGAUUAGUUGAGGACGAACUAUUGCGAAAGCAUCUGCCAAGGACGUUUCUU